rnacentral:rRNA from 1 species
AAAUUGAAGAGUUUGAUCAUGGCUCAGAUUGAACGCUGGCGGCAGGCCUAACACAUGCAAGUCGAACGGUAACAGGAAGCAGCUUGCUGCUUUGCUGACGAGUGGCGGACGGGUGAGUAAUGUCUGGGAAACUGCCUGAUGGAGGGGGAUAACUACUGGAAACGGUGGCUAAUACCGCAUAACGUCGCAAGACCAAAGAGGGGGACCUUCGGGCCUCUUGCCAUCAGAUGUGCCCAGAUGGGAUUAGCUUGUUGGUGAGGUAACGGCUCACCAAGGCGACGAUCCCUAGCUGGUCUGAGAGGAUGACCAGCCACACUGGAACUGAGACACGGUCCAGACUCCUACGGGAGGCAGCAGUGGGGAAUAUUGCACAAUGGGCGCAAGCCUGAUGCAGCCAUGCCGCGUGUAUGAAGAAGGCCUUCGGGUUGUAAAGUACUUUCAGCGGGGAGGAAGGUGUUGUGGUUAAUAACCGCAGCAAUUGACGUUACCCGCAGAAGAAGCACCGGCUAACUCCGUGCCAGCAGCCGCGGUAAUACGGAGGGUGCAAGCGUUAAUCGGAAUUACUGGGCGUAAAGCGCACGCAGGCGGUCUGUCAAGUCGGAUGUGAAAUCCCCGGGCUCAACCUGGGAACUGCAUUCGAAACUGGCAGGCUUGAGUCUUGUAGAGGGGGGUAGAAUUCCAGGUGUAGCGGUGAAAUGCGUAGAGAUCUGGAGGAAUACCGGUGGCGAAGGCGGCCCCCUGGACAAAGACUGACGCUCAGGUGCGAAAGCGUGGGGAGCAAACAGGAUUAGAUACCCUGGUAGUCCACGCCGUAAACGAUGUCUACUUGGAGGUUGUGCCCUUGAGGCGUGGCUUCCGGAGCUAACGCGUUAAGUAGACCGCCUGGGGAGUACGGCCGCAAGGUUAAAACUCAAAUGAAUUGACGGGGGCCCGCACAAGCGGUGGAGCAUGUGGUUUAAUUCGAUGCAACGCGAAGAACCUUACCUGGUCUUGACAUCCACAGAACUUUCCAGAGAUGGAUUGGUGCCUUCGGGAACUGUGAGACAGGUGCUGCAUGGCUGUCGUCAGCUCGUGUUGUGAAAUGUUGGGUUAAGUCCCGCAACGAGCGCAACCCUUAUCCUUUGUUGCCAGCGAUUCGGUCGGGAACUCAAAGGAGACUGCCAGUGAUAAACUGGAGGAAGGUGGGGAUGACGUCAAGUCAUCAUGGCCCUUACGACCAGGGCUACACACGUGCUACAAUGGCGCAUACAAAGAGAAGCGACCUCGCGAGAGCAAGCGGACCUCAUAAAGUGCGUCGUAGUCCGGAUUGGAGUCUGCAACUCGACUCCAUGAAGUCGGAAUCGCUAGUAAUCGUGGAUCAGAAUGCCACGGUGAAUACGUUCCCGGGCCUUGUACACACCGCCCGUCACACCAUGGGAGUGGGUUGCAAAAGAAGUAGGUAGCUUAACCUUCGGGAGGGCGCUUACCACUUUGUGAUUCAUGACUGGGGUGAAGUCGUAACAAGGUAACCGUAGGGGAACCUGCGGUUGGAUCACCUCCUUACCUGAAAGAAGC